AUUUUCUUCGGGAAUUUUCUUGGGGAAUUUGGGGGAAUUUCUGGGAAUUUUUGGGAUUUUUUUUUUCGGGAAUUUUGGACCAAGGUGAACAGAAUCUACGCAGACUGGAAAAUUACUUGGCUCAUCCUCAGUCCAGGCUGGAAAUUGGGAGGACGUAGUGAAGUUCCGUCGUCCGAAAAUCGGGAAAUUAUGUCCUACAUCUACCCUGUAGAUCCGAAUUUGUCUGAAAUCUCAGACUCCCUAACAAAUUCGGUUCUAGAGAGGUUUGUGUGGGCAAUACUUGGCAACGAGACAACCAACCAUUUUGUGACCCUUUGGAUCUGUGUGAUUCGGCCGCAUCCCAAAUAACGACCCAACCCUCACGAGAGAACAAAACAAGAGAGUAGGUACCCUUGGCGAGCUGUAAGAAAAGUGCACCUUUUUUCUUCUCCCUUUAGAAAUUGAAACUAUUUCGUAUUUAUUUCUUGUACUCGUUAAAAUGAGAAAUGGUUAGUUUUUUUUCUUCAUUUUUCUUUUACUUGAUGGACAGGAGGAGAAUCUCGGGUUUACAAAGUUACAAAUCCAUAGGCAGGCAGGCAGGGUUCCCUUUUUGUUCGGUUAUGCAAUCCUUACUGGGUUUGGGAAGGUUAUUGUGCAGCGUCAUUUUUAGGGUGGGAUGUUAUUUUACGGUAUGUACUGUACUGCCCGGGGCAAGGAUGAAGUCGGGGUCGUGAUGGAGAAUUGAAUGACGAGGAGAUAUAUUUGAUUUGAUUUGUUGAAGAGAAAUGGUUGCAUUUUUGUGCAAAAUUAUUAUCGGGAUGGGUCGGAAAUUUUGGAGGCUUGAAUUUUGUGGGAGAAUAAUUUAGAAUUGUUUUUUGUACA